GACAAUUUAUCGCCCUUCGUAUCAACACGCCAUUUGUAAACAUGAAAGGUCAUGUGAAAGGAAACUUUUAAACAGUAAUUUGACGAUUGAUUUUAAAUGGAUAAUGAAUGUCAUUGAGCGAUUUACAGAUCAACCAUUGAUGAACUACUGAGAAACAUCUGGCAUAUUGCUAUGACCUUAAACAAAAAAAAAAAGGAAUUCUCAAGGCAUGCCUGUAUACCACAUGUUGGAAGAGUUUGUGGAAUGGCUGAAGGAAGAAAGAAUUUCCAGCCAGAAAAAUAAAAUUCUUUAUGAAUUUGUGAAUGGAAAUGAAACCCAAGGAACUAAUAUAUUUGCUUACCAUCCAGUUGAAAGUAUGCCAAUGAAAUAAAGUGCAACUGUCACAGAAGUGCACAAAAUAAGGUCAUGUUUUCUACAAAAGUUCACCAAGUUGAUUCAAACUACAAAUGGGAGUCAAGAAAAAAGUAAAACUAACUGAACUGUCACAGUUCAACUGUGAGAAAUGUUUGGUAAAAGUAUGUUUUGUUGUCAGAACAGCAGUGAAGUGGUUAGAGUAAAACUGUCUUCAUUGUUUAAAGGUCCAAUACUAAGGAAAGUAAACAUUUUAAUUUCUUUUAAAAAGCACAGAAACUUUUUCAUUUUAUUGGAAAAUGAAAGUUGGUAUGUAGAAAUUCGAAAUAAAUCACAGUAUUUGUACAAUUAUUUUUCUAUGAAGUAUGAAGAAAGUUAAAAAGACCUGGGGGGUCAUUCUGUCGAUUCAUUGAAAUUUCAACAUAAUACACAUACAUUUCUUUGAGUUCCAAAGACCUUCUGUAAAUUUUGACGUGCCAAUCUUCAUUAUUUAGUAUCUUGCAGAAGUCUAUGCACUGGCUAUGAAAAAAAUUGCCUACUCACUUUCCCUUAGUAAUGGACCUUUAAGCAAUACAGAAUUUUUUUUAAAAAACAUACUCCAUGCAUAAUAUAUCUUGAGUGCUCUUUUUUAUUUAAAUAAUCAUACAGUUUCAAGAAAUUUGACAAUAAAUGCUAUCUUUAAUUUUAUAAGAAAAUAGUGCAUUGUUGCCAUGGUAUCAAACAUUAAUCUGACUGUAGAUUAUUGUAAAACAUCUUUCAUGUUUAUAUGUUCUAUUUGUUAAAAAAAUUAAUGUAAGGUCAUAUUCUUUUCUAAGUAAUAACUACAUCAACAAAACAUUAUGUUAUCAUAUGAAUCUGCCUUAAACUAGCAAGAGUUGUGUCGUGUGUAUCAGAAAAUUAUGUAUAUCCCAAACAGUGUCACAUCAGUUUACAUGAAAUGAGGUUUUCUUACUUUUGAAUACGAAAUUAGACAGCUUUCAAUGUAAAUAGUAUUUAGAAAAACACUUUAACAUAUUCAAUUAUUUCAAGAACUUGAUAGAAAUGGUACUUUUGGUAAGAAAAUACAUCAUGGUUGCUAUGGUAAUGAGUCACUGAUCAGUGUGACAUCUGUACUGCUACUUUAAGCAAAAUCAGUUUAUAAUAUUUCUAAUAAUUAUAUCUUUUUGCCUGAUUUUCUGUCUAACAGUUACAAAGAAAUAUGUCAAUGAGUCAAGUGUUCUAACAACAAGGUUAAUUUGUCAUAGUUUUGUCAUGUUAUCUAACCCGUAAUCCAGUAAAUCUAUUUUUGUACAAAAGAAAGCCAUAUUAAGAUUUUUGCAAAAAAAACUGUUAUCUUUAAACUCUGUCUGUACACUGGAAAAUGUUGACGGUAUAUUAACUUCACUUUCUUGAUGUAAAUUUUGGCUGGAUUUAUCAAGGAACUAUUCAAAUUGGACAACUGUGUUGCCAUGGAAACGAUUUUAAGGGGAAAAUAAUAUGUGCUUAUAUGAAAAAAAGAAACAGAAAGAAAUAAAUUUAAUUAACUGUA